rnacentral:rRNA from 1 species
GACGAACGCUGGCGGCGUGCCUAAUACAUGCAAGUAGAACGCUGAAGGAGGAGCUUUCUCUUCUGGAUGAGUUGCGAACGGGUGAGUAACGCGUAGGUAACCUGCCUGUUAGCGGGGGAUAACUCUUGGAAACGAUAGCUAAUACCGCAUAACAGUAGAUGUUGCAUGACAUUUUCUUAAAAGUUGCAAUUUCACCACUACCAGAUGGACCUGCGUUGUAUUAGCUAGUUGGUGGUGUAACGGCUCACCAAGGCGACGAUACAUAGCCGAACUGCGAGGGGGAUAAGCCACACUGGGAAUGAGAAACGGGCCAGAACUCCAAGGGAGGGAGCAAGAGGGAAAUCUCGGGAAGGGAGGGAAGUCUGAACGAGAAACGCCGCGGGAGGGAAGAAGGUUGUCGGAUCGGAAAGCUCGGUUUUAAGAGAAGAAAGAGGGGGAGAGGGGAAAGUGCACAAUGUGACGGUACCUAACCAGAAAGGGACGGCUAACUACGUG